CGGUUGUCCGCAAUUAAGUUCAGCAUGAAUAUGGUGACCUCCCCAGGAGCGGGGGACCACCAGGUUGCCUAAGGAGGGGUGAACGGCCAGGUCAGAAACAGAGCAGGUCAGAACUCCCGUGCUGAUGAGUAGUGGAAUCGCGCCUG
rnacentral:SRP_RNA from 1 species